rnacentral:rRNA from 1 species
UUGGGUUUAAGGGUGCGUAGGCGGAAUAAUAAGUCAGUUGUGAAAGUUUGCGGCUCAACCGUAAAAUUGCAGUUGAUACUGUUAUUCUUGAGUGUACAUAAGGUAGGCGGAAUUCGUGGUGUAGCGGUGAAAUGCUUAGAUAUCACGAAGAACUCCAAUUGCGAAGGCAGCUUACCGGGGUACAACUGACGCUGAGGCACGAAAGUGUGGGUAUCAAACAGGAUUAGAUACCCUGGUAGUCCACACAGUAAACGAUGAAUACUCGCUGUUUGCAAUAUACCGCAAGCGGCCAAGCGAAAGCAUUAAGUAUUCCACCUGGGGAGUACGCCGGCAACGGUGAAACUCAAAGGAAUUGACGGGGGCCCGCACAAGCGGAGGAACAUGUGGUUUAAUUCGAUGAUACGCGAGGAACCUUACCCAGGCUUAAAUUGCAGAUGAAUAUAGUGGAAACAUUAUAGCCUUCGGGCAUCUGUGAAGGUGCUGCAUGGUUGUCGUCAGCUCGUGCCGUGAGGUGUCGGCUUAAGUGCCAUAACGAGCGCAACCCUUAUUGAUAGUUACUAACAGGUUAAGCUGAGGACUCUAUCGAGACUGCCGUCGUAAGAUGCGAGGAAGGUGGGGAUGACGUCAAAUCAGCACGGCCCUUACGUCUGGGGCUACACACGUGUUACAAUGGGGGGUACAGAAGGUCGCUACCUGGCAACAGGAUGCUAAUCCCAAAAGCCUCUCUCAGUUCGGAUUGGAGUCUGCAACCCGACUCCAUGAAGCUGGAUUCGCUAGUAAUCGCGCAUCAGCCACGGCGCGGUGAAUACGUUCCCGGGCCUUGUACACACCGCCCGUCAAGCCAUGGGAGCCGGGGGUACCUGAAGUACGUAACCGCAAGGAGC